rnacentral:rRNA from 1 species
CCUACGGGAGGCAGCAGUGAGGAAUAUUGGUCAAUGGGCGCGAGCCUGAACCAGCCAAGUCGCGUGAGGGAGGACGGCCCUACGGGUUGUAAACCUCUUUUGCCGGGGAGCAACGGGCGCCACGUGUGGCGUCACUGAGCGUACCCGGAGAAAAAGCAUCGGCUAACUCAGUGCCAGCAGCCGCGGUAAUACGGGGGAUGCGAGCGUUAUCCGGAUUUAUUGGGUUUAAGGGGGUCGCAGGCGGAUCGUUAAGUCAGUGGUCAAAUUGAGGGGCUCAACCACUUCCCGCCAUUGAAACUGGCGUUCUUGAGUGGAAGAGAAGUAUGCGGAAUGCGUGGUGUAGCGGUGAAAUGCAUAGAUAUCACGCAGAACCCCGAUUGCGAAGGCAGCAUGCCGGCUUCCGACUGACGCUGAGGCACGAAAGCGUGGGGAUCGAACAGGAUUAGAUACCCGAGUAGUC